UACGUAGGGGGCAAGCGUUAUCCGGAAUCAUUGGGCGUAAAGCGCGUGUAGGCGGUUCCGUAAGUCCGCUCUGAAAGCCCAGGGCUCAACCCUGGGAGGCGGGUGGAUACUACGGAACUGGAGUACGGAAGAGGAGAUUGGAAUUCCUGGCGUAGCGGUGAAAUGCGCAGAUAUCAGGAGGAACACCAAUAGCGAAGGCAGCUCGCUGGGACGUUACUGACACUGAGGCGCGAAAGCGUGGGGAGCGAACAGG
rnacentral:rRNA from 1 species